UUAACUCUAAUUUGUAUGGAGUUGGAACAGCGCCCCUAGCGGCAAACGCAGGCAAACGUUUCAACUCCAUACAAAUUAGAGUUA
rnacentral:pre_miRNA from 1 species